AUGUGCCUACGGGACGCAGCAGUGGGGAAUAUUGCACAAUGGGGGGAACCCUGAUGCAGCGACGCCGCGUGAGUGAAGAAGUAUUUCGGUAUGUAAAGCUCUAUCAGCAGGGAAGAUAAUGACGGUACCUGACUAAGAAGCCCCGGCUAACUACGUGCCAGCAGCCGCGGUAAUACGUAGGGGGCAAGCGUUAUCCGGAUUUACUGGGUGUAAAGGGUGCGUAGGUGGCAGGGCAAGUCAGAUGUGAAAGCCCGGGACCCAACCCCGGUACUGCAUUUGAAACUGUCCGGAAAAA
rnacentral:rRNA from 1 species